rnacentral:rRNA from 1 species
GAUGAACGCUGGCGGCGUGCCUAAUACAUGCAAGUCGAGCGAACAGACGAGGAGCUUGCUCCUUUGACGUUAGCGGCGGACGGGUGAGUAACACGUGGGUAACCUACCUAUAAGACUGGGAUAACUUCGGGAAACCGGAGCUAAUACCGGAUAAUAUUUCGAACCGCAUGGUUCGAUAGUGAAAGAUGGCUUUGCUAUCACUUGUAGAUGGACCUGCGCCGUAUUAGCUAGUUGGUAAGGUAACGGCUUACCAAGGCAACGAUACGUAGCCGACCUGAGAGGGUGAUCGGCCACACUGGAACUGAGACACGGUCCAGACUCCUACGGGAGGCAGCAGUAGGGAAUCUUCCGCAAUGGGCGAAAGCCUGACGGAGCAACGCCGCGUGAGUGAUGAAGGUCUUCGGAUCGUAAAACUCUGUUAUUAGGGAAGAACAAACGUGUAAGUAACUGUGCACGUCUUGACGGUACCUAAUCAGAAAGCCACGGCUAACUACGUG